GACAUACUCUCUUCGUCCCAAAAUUCUUGUCUUAAAUUUGUCUAAAUAUAAAUGUAUCUAAUUGUCUAAAUAUGAAUGUAUCUAGUUACAUUUUAGUGUUAGAUACAUCUGUAUGUAGACAAAUCUAAGACAAGAGUUUUGGGACGGAGGGAGUACAUC
rfam:Triticum aestivum genome assembly, contig: Triticum_aestivum_CS42_TGACv1_scaffold_132095_2BL